GAUCCCGGAAUUCCGGGAUUUGAUCGUUUUGAGCUCCAAAUUUGAACUGGGUUGGGGCUUAUAAAUACCCCACCCAUUCAGCACUGAAAAGAUACAGACCUACACCGAAUUCUUGAUCUUUUCUGUGAUUCUAAGAGCUCAAAUUUGUGUAAAGUCCAAAAGUUCUCCUCUUUCUGUUCUUGAAGUCUUGAGUUGUAAAGAGAGGAGAGAAAGGUUCUGUAAGGGUUGUCUCCUGAGCCCGUCAAAAGGAGUGAAACUGUAAAAGGGUAGUUGGCCUUCGCCUAUUGAAGGAAGGCCUCUAGUUGACGUCGGUAACCUCGUCGGUGGAGGAAGCCAAAAGUGGAGUAGGUCAAGACUGACCGAACCACUCUAAAUCUCUGGUUUGCUUUUAUUUUGAGCACUUUAUCAUUACUGCAAACCUCCUACAUAACUACUGCUCUCUGCGCUUUUACGAAAAAGUUUCU
rnacentral:lncRNA from 1 species